rnacentral:rRNA from 1 species
AGAGUUUGAUCCUGGCUCAGGAUCAACGCUGGCGGCGUGCCUAAUGCAUGCAAGUCGAAUGCGCGCCUCUUCGGAGGCGUGGCGUGGCGGACGGGUGAGGAACACGUGGGCAACCUGCCCUGGGGCGGGGGGUAGCCCUCGGAAACGAGGGGUAAUUCCGCAUACGCUCAGGCAUCACGAGGGUGGCUGAGGAAAGGGCUCGGAAGGGCUCACCCCAGGAGGGGGCUGCGGCCGAUUAGCUAGUUGGGGGGGUAACGGCCUCCCAAGGCGAUGAUCGGUAGCCGGCCUGAGAGGGUGACCGGCCACACUGGGACUGAGACACGGCCCAGACUCCUACGGGAGGCAGCAGUGGGGAAUAUUGGACAAUGGGCGGAAGCCUGAUCCAGCAACGCCGCGUGAGGGAUGACGGCCUUCGGGUUGUAAACCUCUUUCACCAUUGACGAAGCUGCAUCUUUUUGGGUGUGGUGACGGUAGGUGGGGAAGAAGCACCGGCCAACUACGUGCCAGCAGCGGCGGUAAUAC